rnacentral:rRNA from 1 species
GACGAACGCUGGCGGCGUGCCUAAUACAUGCAAGUCGAACGAACCGCGACUAGGUGCUUGCACUUGGUCAAGGUGAGUGGCGAACGGGUGAGUAACACGUGGGUAACCUACCUCAUAGUGGGGGAUAACAGUCGGAAACGACUGCUAAUACCGCAUAGGACAUGGGAUCACAUGAUUCUGUGAGGAAAGGUGGUGCAAGCUAUCGCUAAGAGAUGGACCCGCGGUGCAUUAGCUAGUUGGUAGGGUAACGGCCUACCAAGGCGAUGAUGCAUAGCCGACCUGAGAGGGUGAUCGGCCACAUUGGGACUGAGACACGGCCCAAACUCCUACGGGAGGCAGCAGUAGGGAAUCUUCCGCAAUGGACGCAAGUCUGACGGAGCAACGCCACGUGAGUGAAGAAGGUCUUCGGAUCGUAAAGCUCUGUUGUUAGAGAAGAACAGCGCAUAGAGUAACUGUUAUGCGUGUGACGGUAUCUAACCAGAAAGCCACGGCUAACUACGUG